AUCCGGGUGUCAACAACGACAACUAAACAGGCUUCACAGGUGACCAAGGAAGAUAAGAGAAAGAGGGAGAGAGAGAGGAGAGAGAGAGAGAGGGAAAAGCAGAAGAGAGGAGACAGAGGUUCCUUCAGAAGGCGUUGCCCAGUCGUUAACAAAGCGAGAGAAUGAAAUCCUCCUCCUCCGUCAGUAGGUUCCUGUUGCUCCUGUGGCUGGUGUUCGAGGUCUCUGCUGCCCAGUCGUUCUCUGCGGUGCCCCCUUUUAUCCUCCGAAGGUAUUCGGCGAUGCCCUACAGCAAGGACGACCUGCGGAUGCCCCCGAGGACGGAGCCCCUCACUUCCUACUUGAGGAGGAGAGAGGUUUCCCCUUUGUCCUACCCGCUACCUGCUUCUGAGAGUCAGCUCGCAGCCUCAGACCCCAGUCAGCAGUUGCGGCUGCAGCAGGUACCUGAUGCCCAAAGCCAGAGAACUAUCACCACUCGUAGUACCCAGGAAGACGGCAUGGCCGCGUACGGCCAACUGGCUCGCAAGAUGAAGCCCUGCCGUGCGCUGCACUGCAGAGCCAACCUCGACAGCACAAUCAACACGCUCAUGACCAUGAUGGAGAUGGGGAGAAGGAAGUAAAGAGGGGCAGACCUCCCUUGCUCUUUUUUGGACGAGCAUAGCUCAGACGCUGCUGCUGCUGGGAAUUAAGAAGAUCAUUGGAUUGUUUUCGUUUUGGCGUUUUCAACUUAGACUCAAAUCAGAGGAAAUGAAUGAAGUGAUCAUUAGUAACCUUACCCAUUCUUGACCUUAUGAAUUCUAGGCUUAUAUUGGCUUGUGGAAUAACACGAUGCUCUGCAAAUGUCCAGGCUUCUUCAUUUGUCUACGGGUGAUUUUUACUCAGUGGUUUGAGUUUCUAAAAUGUCCUUUCUAAAUCUAUGUAGAAAGAUUCCUCUAGAAUUGUUAACCGUUACAAAAAGAUCAGUAAGAUUAAAAUUAAGGAAGUAAUAUUGUAGUCCAAAACACUUACUUAUCACUUAUCACUUUCAUUGUACUACAGCUGUUGAUGUAGAGAAACUGAAUAUACAUUUGUGAAAAUUUAUGAAUUUUCGUUAAAUUCUUAACGUUGCUUGUUGUAGUGAUUUGAAUAUGUUAAGUCUAUCUGUUAUAAAUGUCCACAUUUAAGUUUCAUUUAAAGAUAUGUAAGAAUGAUGUUUUCAUGAACUCUCAGUCUCACGAGAUAAGUUUUAGAACUUUGUCUGCUGUAAAUGUUUUUAUUUGUAUUUCUUUAUUUAUUAAUUUGCUUAUUUAGCUUUUUGGAAGAUCAUUUCUGUAGACUUUUAUUACAUGCUACACAAUGUUCAACCGAAACAUCGAACUUAAUAAAAAAUACUUGAAUGAA